rnacentral:rRNA from 1 species
GAUGAACGCUGGCGGCGUGCCUAAUACAUGCAAGUCGAGCGAACGGACGAGAAGCUUGCUUCUCUGAUGUUAGCGGCGGACGGGUGAGUAACACGUGGAUAACCUACCUAUAAGACUGGGAUAACUUCGGGAAACCGUAGCUAAUACCGGAUAAUAUUUUGAACAGCAUGGUUCAAAAGUGAAAGACGGUCUUGCUGUCACUUAUAGAUGGAUCCGCGCUGCAUUAGCUAGUUGGUAAGGUAACGGCUUACCAAGGCAACGAUGCAUAGCCGACCUGAGAGGGUGAUCGGCCACACUGGAACUGAGACACGCUCCAGACUCCUACGGGAGGCAGCAGUAGGGAAUCUUCCGCAAUGGGCGAAAGCCUGACGGAGCAACGCCGCGUGAGUGAUGAAGGUCUUCGGAUCGUAAAACUCUGUUAUUAGGGAAGAACAUAUGUGUAAGUAACUGUGCACAUCUUGACGGUACCUAAUCAGAAAGCCACGGCUAACUACGUG